AACGAACGCUGGCGGCAUGCCUUACACAUGCAAGUCGAACGCGAAAGUGUCUUCGGACAUUAGUAGAGUGGCAAACGGGUGAGUAACGCGUGGGAAUAUACCUUAUAGUACGGAAUAGCCUCGGGAAACUGGGAUUAAUACCGUAUACGCCCUUCGGGGGAAAGAUUUAUCGCUAUAAGAUUAGCCCGCGUCAGAUUAGCUAGUUGGUGGGGUAACGGCCUACCAAGGCAACGAUCUGUAGCUGGUCUGAGAGGACGAUCAGCCACAUUGGGACUGAGACACGGCCCAAACUCCUACGGGAGGCAGCAGUGGGGAAUAUUGGACAAUGGACGCAAGUCUGAUCCAGCAAUGCCGCGUGAAUGAUGAAGGCCUUAGGGUUGUAAAGUUCUUUAAGUAGGGAAGAUAAUGACGGUACCUACAGAAUAAGCACCGGCUAACUUCGUGCCAGCCGCCGCAGUAA
rnacentral:rRNA from 1 species